CCGCCGGCGACCGGCGCACGGGUGAGUAACACGUAUGCAACCUGCCCCUGUCAGGGGGACAACCCGCCGAAAGGCGGGCUAAACCCGCGUACAUGCCACCGGGGCAUCCCGGAGGCAGGAAAGGCUUCGGCCGGACAGGGAUGGGCAUGCGGCGCAUUAGGCAGUAGGCGGGGUAACGGCCCACCUAACCGACGAUGCGUAGGGGUUCUGAGAGGAAGGUCCCCACACUGGUGCUGAGACACGGACCAGACUCCUACGGAAGGCAGCAG
rnacentral:rRNA from 1 species